GACGAACGCUGGCGGCGUGCUUAACACAUGCAAGUCGAACGGAAAGGCCCUGCUUGCAGGGUACUCGAGUGGCGAACGGGUGAGUAACACGUGGGUGAUCUGCCCUGCACUUCGGGAUAAGCCUGGGAAACUGGGUCUAAUACCGGAUAGGAGCCAUUUUUAGUGUGAUGGUUGGAAAGUUUUUUCGGUGUAGGAUGAGCUCGCGGCCUAUCAGCUUGUUGGUGGGGUAAUGGCCUACCAAGGCGGCGACGGGUAGCCGGCCUGAGAGGGUGGACGGCCACAUUGGGACUGAGAUACGGCCCAGACUCCUACGGGAGGCAGCAGUGGGGAAUAUUGCACAAUGGGCGCAAGCCUGAUGCAGCGACGCCGCGUUGGGGAGGACGGCCUUCGGGUUGUAAACUCCUUUCGCUAGGGACGAAGCUUUUUGUGACGGUACCUAGAUAAGAAGCACCGGCUAACUACGUG
rnacentral:rRNA from 1 species